rnacentral:rRNA from 1 species
GACGAACGCUGGCGGCGUGCUUAACACAUGCAAGUCGAACGGAAAGGCCCUGCUUUUGUGGGGUGCUCGAGUGGCGAACGGGUGAGUAACACGUGAGUAACCUGCCCUUGACUUUGGGAUAACUUCAGGAAACUGGGGCUAAUACCGGAUAGGAGCUCCUGCUGCAUGGUGGGGGUUGGAAAGUUUCGGCGGUUGGGGAUGGACUCGCGGCUUAUCAGCUUGUUGGUGGGGUAGUGGCUUACCAAGGCUUUGACGGGUAGCCGGCCUGAGAGGGUGACCGGCCACAUUGGGACUGAGAUACGGCCCAGACUCCUACGGGAGGCAGCAGUGGGGAAUAUUGCACAAUGGGCGGAAGCCUGAUGCAGCAACGCCGCGUGCGGGAUGACGGCCUUCGGGUUGUAAACCGCUUUCGCCUGUGACGAAGCGUGAGUGACGGUAAUGGGUAAAGAAGCACCGGCUAACUACGUGCCAGCAGCCGCGGUGAUACGUAGGGUGCGAGCGUUGUCCGGAUUUAUUGGGCGUAAAGGGCUCGUAGGUGGUUGAUCGCGUCGGAAGUGUAAUCUUGGGGCUUAACCCUGAGCGUGCUUUCGAUACGGGUUGACUUGAGGAAGGUAGGGGAGAAUGGAAUUCCUGGUGGAGCGGUGGAAUGCGCAGAUAUCAGGAGGAACACCAGUGGCGAAGGCGGUUCUCUGGGCCUUUCCUGACGCUGAGGAGCGAAAGCGUGGGGAGCGAACAGGCUUAGAUACCCUGGUAGUCCACGCUGUAAACGGUGGGUACUAGGUGUGGGGUCCAUUCCACGGGUUCCGUGCCGUAGCUAACGCUUUAAGUACCCCGCCUGGGGAGUACGGCCGCAAGGCUAAAACUCAAAGGAAUUGACGGGGCCCCGCACAAGCGGCGGAGCAUGCGGAUUAAUUCGAUGCAACGCGUAGAACCUUACCUGGGUUUGACAUGGAUCGGGAGUGCUCAGAGAUGGGUGUGCCUCUUUUGGGGUCGGUUCACAGGUGGUGCAUGGCUGUCGUCAGCUCGUGUCGUGAGAUGUUGGGUUAAGUCCCGCAACGAGCGCAACCCUUGUUCACUGUUGCCAGCACGUUAUGGUGGGGACUCAGUGGAGACCGCCGGGGUCAACUCGGAGGAAGGUGGGGAUGACGUCAAGUCAUCAUGCCCCUUAUGUCCAGGGCUUCACGCAUGCUACAAUGGCUGGUACAGAGAGUGGCGAACCUGUGAGGGUGAGCGAAUCUCGGAAAGCCGGUCUCAGUUCGGAUUGGGGUCUGCAACUCGACCUCAUGAAGUCGGAGUCGCUAGUAAUCGCAGAUCAGCAACGCUGCGGUGAAUACGUUCCCGGG